UCUCAUGCAAUGCUUCUGAGAAAAAUUAAUCGUGUGAUAUAUGUUGGGUUUUUGUUAUAUAAUUACCCCAAAAAAGAGUUCUCACCAUGUAUGAAUGCAUUUAUGUAGUAGCACAUAAUUUUGUCAACAGAAUUGGGGAUCUAUCAAUAACCUGGGUGCAAGUUGAUGUCCAACUCUUUUACUGGGAGUAGGAAAAUAAAAAAAUAGGAUGAUGAUAAUAGGAACUUUUGAUUAAUUAAGCUUCCGGAUAUCUUAUGAAAACUCGCAGCCUUCUUUUGAGACUAACUCAUGCACUGGGGAUAUAGACAGUCAUAUCCUAAAUGUAUCAAAAUUUAGUUGUGGAAGAAAGUUCCAGAAGAAAUUACAUUGAAUUUUUGCAAGGACGCAUCUAGUCACACUAAGAUCUUAGGAGUAUGGAGCUAAGCAAAUAUUAAUUGAACUCAACACCAAACUCUCCAUUUUGAUAGGGAACUGGUCAAAUUCCAAUCAACAAGUUCCCUCUGUAUCUGUUCCAAUUUAUUUGGCGCCUAGACAGGAAUAUUGAACAAAGUUUGGAAACGGUUAUUCCCUGAACAUACUGUUGAAUCGCUGAUGCCACUUCACUCGGUCUAUCAGAGGAUGUUUCAAAUAAUGUAUUUCAGCAGAAAAAAUUCACAUGACCAGUUUAUCUAUUGAAAGCUAUGUGAA